GUUCGAGAAGAGGCUUCGCACAGAGAGGAGCUCUGUUCGCGAGCUCCUCUCUUUACCUUUGAAAAACAUGCUUGCACUUCUCCUGGCUGUUGCGGGCUGACUCGGCAUUUAUUUAUUUCAGUGCCACUUCCCUUUAAUUGUGAUUACCUGAAACCAGGAGUGGUAUCUUCCACGGACUCAAAAAACUGCACAGGGAGGAGAAGCUGAAGAAGCUCAUUCCGUGGCACACACAUUGCAGGCCGUGUACUCAUCAGGAUCCAAAAGAGCAAUGCGAAGGGAUGGCAAGAGGCUUCUGGAUGUCCAGCCAUGGCAAUGUAACUCACCACAGUCCAAUGCCCAAGAAUUACCAGUGCAUCGCAGCAAUGGUUUUCUCCAUCCGUGAGUUCAACAGGGAUCCAUGCACCUACCCAAUACCAUGCUGGGCUUCCACAUCUCUGAAGACAGCAGCUAUUCAAGGAGGACAUACAAGGUCAUCCUAUCUCUGCUCCCCACUGGGAACCAAGAGGUCCCUAACUAUAAAUGUAACAAACUGGAGAAUCUGUUGUCUGUCAUUGGGGAUCUCAUUCUCCCAACCUCAAGGCAGAGGUCAUCAGUCUUCAGCUUCUUCCUCAGGCACGAGGAUUUCUCUCAAUAAAGAUGGUGUGAAUG